rnacentral:rRNA from 1 species
AACGAACGCUGGCGGCAUGCCUAACACAUGCAAGUCGAACGAGACCUUCGGGUCUAGUGGCGCACGGGUGCGUAACGCGUGGGAACCUGCACUUAUGUUCGGACUAACUCCCCGACAGGGGUGCUAAUACCGGAUCAUGUCUUCGGCCCAAAGAUUUAUCGCCUUUGGUUGGGCGGGAGUUGGAUUAGCUAGUUGGUAGGGUAAAAGCCUCCCAAGGCGACGAUCCAUAGCUGGUCUGAGAGGAUGAUCAGCCACACUGGGACUAGGACACGGCCCAGACUCCUACGGGAGGCAGCAGUGGGGAAUAUUGGACAAUGGGCGAAAGCCUGAUCCAGCAAUGCCGCGUGAGUGAUGAAGGCCUUAGGGUUGUAAAGCUCUUUUACCCGGGAUGAUAAUGACAGUACCGGGAGAAUAAGCUCCGGCUAACUACGUG